rnacentral:lncRNA from 1 species
GUGUCCCGUUAAACCAAAAUAACUAAACUGGAUGAAUAUUGUAGGAGAAAUCUAGAGGAAAGUUUUGAUUUGUGAAAUUGGUUUUCCUGAAAAGUCAUUCAUCCUGCAGAAAGGAUUUAUAACUGUCCACCACCAACUGUCGAGCUAAUGUUGAGCUUCACAGAUGGAAUUACUCAAACACCAUCAAUGCCUAUGUUUUCAGCACAGAUUUCGCAAAUCAUGACACAGCUGUGC